rnacentral:lncRNA from 1 species
GAACAAUAAACAUUUGAUAACAAUUUUUGUAUCCUUCAUCAUUUAAAAAAAAUUAUAUUCUUAAAAGAAACAAAACAAUCAAAUUAAUCAUAAAAUAAAAAGUUUAGAUGGUUUCUUAUAUGUUAUAUUUUGAAGUUUUUAAAACGAUUAUAAAUUACUAAUAUUGUUAAAAGUCUCACAUUAAAAAAUUUGUGAUCAAUGGUUUAAAUUUUUGUUAAAACAAGAUACAAAUAAUCAUAUGAUUAAGAAG